UUUUGCAUAAUAACCGUUUGUUACUUUAUAAGCGGCUACACAUCAACAAUUCAUCGCACUCGGUGGUAUUUGUAAGGGCUCAGCAAGAGGAACCUGCUGCAACCUGCAAUGUGGCCUGCUUACGCCUGGCAUUGAUGGUAUGCCGUCGGAAGAAGGCCGGCCACACGGGGCCCGCGAGAGUCCGCUGUGAUGAUGGUGCACCCUCGCGAUACUAGCCAUUCCUGGCAAUGAUGAAACUCGCUCGAGAGAGUUUCAUCAUCAGUCAGAUGGCUUGAAAAAUGAUGUAUGCUGUUAGGAUACUUUAAAAGAUUUUAUUUUAUAAGAAGAUUAAAUGAAAAGGAUAUUGUGUUGAUUUAGUUAUAUGUGUGUUAAAUAAGUGUUUGGUCUCUUGAAAUAUCGUAGAAGUGGUUUCACGAAUGUAAUAAUAUAAGAUUAUAUACUUUAGUUGUGUGCA